GGGGAAAUCAUGAAGGAGGAGGAACCUUGAGGAAGAGGGAACCAGAGGAUCAUGAAGAAGGAUUCUGGAGAGAGAGACUCCCUGCUGUGAGCUGCAGAGAGAAGUGAUAGAGGCUUUGGUGGGUGCCUGCCAUCCAGACAGAGUCAGUCCACCACUGUACAUGAAAUUACUGACCUCAAGAUGUGCCUCUGAAGCUUUGCAGAGCAGAGCACUGAAGUGCAAACCUUAAGGAAACAGCUGUUGUCUGUGAAAAUAGAGGCUGGCAAAUGAAUUGGUGAAACAUGUAGUUGUCUUCCUUUUGGCUUUAAGCACUAGCAUUCUGCUUUCUUGCCUUCUACUGGCUGGGCUGCACAGCUGAGCCUGCAUCAGAUCACUAAAGCUAUCAGCAGAAGUGAAUCACUUCCAUAUGAAGCUGAUAAGGGAAGUAAAAGUCUUUGCUAUAUAGGCACAAGAUAUUUGUUUUAACUCUUCACACUUUUGUUUAUUUUCAUCUAUCUAUACAUACAUAUAUGUAUGUAUAUUGUUAAAAUAAUUCCUCUGUCAUAUUUACUUGUCAUUGAUCAGUCAGCUUAAUCCCAGAAAAGCCUAUUACAAC